rnacentral:rRNA from 1 species
GACGAACGCUGGCGGCGCGCUUAACACAUGCAAGUCGUGCGGUGUCGAAGGCAAGUCUUACGACAAGCCUUCGACACAGCGGCGAACGGGUGAGUAACACGUGAGUAGCUGUCCUAAGGAGGGGGAGUAACGCCUGGAAACGGGUGCUAACACCCCACUAUGCCUCGCAAGAGGUGAAAGUGUACUUGCUACAGCCUUAGGGUGUGCUCGCGGCCUAUCAGCUAGUUGGUGAGGGUAACGGCUCACCAAGGCCAAGACGGGUAGCCGGCCUGAGAGGGUGUACGGCCACACUGGAACUGAAACACGGUCCAUACAUCUACGGAUGGCAGCAGUAGGGAAUAUUGGUUAAUGGGCGAAAGCCUGAACCAGCAACGCCGCGUGUGUGAUGACGGCCUUCGGGUUGUAAAACACUUUUUAAGGGAACGAGGAAGGACGGUACCCUUAGAAUAAGUCUCGGCUAACUACGUG